UGUUUUUGUUUUGUUCUUUAAACAGUUUUAAAAUCGGACAACUUGUCCAAUCUCUUUUUUCAGCAAAUCAAAGGUAUCCACUACUAUAAUCCUCACAGCUCCCACAAAACCUAAAAUGCUUCCUUUCACAUAGGAAUUCGUAGAAGACGAAGAUGUAGAAGCUCGAACUCAAGCAUGCAUUACUCUCAUUUUCACAUAGGUUUUGAUGAAUUGAACUUCUCAAUGUUACAAACUGUUUCAGGAGAAUCAUGCUAGCGUAUUUUCAACAAGCUUCUUCGCGUGUUUUAUUUUAGUGAUUUUAGACUGUGAAUCUAUUUUGCUUAAAUUCGGAGAAGGCAAUGUUGAAGAGAAAACUAAUGAUUUUAGACUGUGAAUCUAUUUUGCUUAAAUUCGGAGAAGGCAAUGUUGAAGAGAAAACUAAGUAUGAUUCAACUCAAACAUUAUUGUUCCUUUCAUAGAGGUUUUGGUGCUUUUCGUUCUCAAAUCACAAAUGGACAUGCAAAUGAAUUUGACGGUUUCAAUGGUAAAGACUAAGAUGAAUUGGAGGUUUUUGAUGUUUAAAUAGUUUCUGGCGAAGCAUGCCACACCUGUUCUAAUUACUUCUGAGGUAUUUUUAACUUGCUCUUUUUUAUAUAUUAGGAAUUUUCUGUUUUUGCACUCGUAAACAUAUGACUUGCACAUUUAAUGAUAUCUUAUUAUUAUAUAAGUUGCUCGGUAGAGGAUACUUGGAGGCUAUGAUGUUGUUUUCAGCUUUUAGAUCAGACAACAGGUUGAAGAACCUGGGUACUGGCAUGGUGUUACAGUAUCUAUUUGAAAAUACCAUCGUGGUUCAUUCUACAGAUACUGAUAAUGCAGCCACGGUGAGGCUCUUCUCUUCCACUUUUUGAUUGAGAUAAGGUGAAUCUAAGCCUUCCUCUGUAACCCUGCAAUUAUGGUUUACACACAUUAGUUGUUAGUUUAAUUAUGAGGCUCCACAUUCAGAGAUAAGGUUGUCUUGAGAGGCAUUGCCACUCUGAGUUGCUGUGCAAGUCGAUGAUCCUUCUCAGUGAAAUUUGCUAACAGCUCUGCACGUAUACAUACAUACACACAUACUCCAUCCAUUCUCUUUUAUAAGCAAAUUUUACUUUUUAGGUUCAUGAAAUAAAUGAUGUAUUUGGACUAUAUAUAAGACUAAAUACAUUAAUUAUUUAAUGAAUGUAAAAAAUAAAAGUUGCUUAUAAAAGAGAAUGGAGGGAGUACUUCCUUUUCUGUUUCAAAAUAAACUUUUUCUUCUUCCCUCUCUUAGAUAACAAGGCAGUGAUGAUGAUUUAAUCAAUUGAAUCAGACAUUGUGUGAAGAGUUGUUUCCUGGCGAUGUGACUCUUUGUCUGCAUGAAAUUACCCUUGUGGUUCUUUGCACAGAUUCUGUUGAUGCAGCCUUUGCAAACAUCUUCUCUUGUGUCUGAGAAAAGGCAAAUUUGAGCCUCCUUUUGUUCAACCCUAUUAGAGUUUGGCCUACCUCAUCUUUACGAAACUGGCUUGUAGGGUGAGGGGUGUCACUCUAUAUAAACUAUUUUCAAGCUCUAUGUCUAACCAAUGUGAGACUUAGGAUCUUCCUAAUAAACCCUAACUCAAUUUUUUUUUGGAAUUUUUUCAUUCUUUCCAUCUUUCAUUUGUUCUUUUGAAUUUUUGUUUGUUUCUAUGUCAAAUUUAGUGUUGUAAGCAUGGUACUAUGGAACACAUUACCAUUUUCUGUGAAACAGAUAUAUACUCUACUUGGUUUCUUUGAAAAUAGUUUAUUGUACUCAAAUUAUCAUUACAUUCUUGAAUAUAGUUUAUUGCACACCAACCAUGGUGGAAAGGGAAAGACUCAGAGUACACCUUUCCUAAUGCUUUACUAAUUAUAGUAACUGUGUUUCACUUGACCCACCUCAUCAAUUUAUAUGCGACACAUUUCUAGACAUUACUUGGUUUCAUAUGAAGUGAUGUCCAAAAAGAAUUUCUAUGUUUAUAUUUUAUAUCACUCUACUAUUGUUUCAUGCUAGAAAUUUAUUUCGAUAUGCUUGUGCAUGAUGGAAAGGGGAUGACUCUGAGAAGGAAUGGUCACCUAACUCUUGAGGAAACUAUAAUUUACUUUGAGCAUUGGAUAUCCAUGCAUAUUUUUAUACAUUUGAAUAGAGAACUAAAGCGCUUGGUACUCUCCUAUCUCAAAUGAUGAAUAGGAGGUUUUUAAUGUUAGAAUGAUUUCAGGGGAAGCGUGCUAAUACUAUUGUAAUGAGAUAUAACUUAUAAGACUGUUUCCUUUGAACAUUGAGGCCUUCACACCUUAUCAGAACUUUAAGAAAGAAAUUUAAAAAAUGAGUAAAUGACUCAUGGAUCAUACUACUUAGCUAUUUGAUUUUAUAGCAAAAGAUUCUGUACAUACAUGGAAGCCAAUUUAAUGAUAUAAUCGACAUGGAUUGUUAAACUAUAUCUUUGAGAUAUGUUCAAAUAUUGGAGGAACUGGCUCCCAUUUAAAGCUGAAAAUGGAUCUAGAUUCUUCUAUUCUAUGCCCACUAAUUAGUGUCUGGUAACCCUAUUUAUGUGUGACAUUGAAUACAAGGUUAUAGUUUCCUUUUCAGCCUCUAACGGGAUGCAGUUUCUCCAAAAUUUGAACCAUAUUUAACACCAGAAAUUAUAUAAAGUUAACUUUAUUAUUGGUCGAACACAAACUCUUCAUGGAAAAACACAUGAAAGGAUUCAUGAUGAAGUUCAGUAGCUUCAGUUCUGGGUGAACUAAAGACUCCAUUAUGUUUCCUAGGUUUAGUUAUUGGCCUAGAAGAUUAUUAGGCUUCCAAAGGCAAGAAAACGAUGUUGAGCACUCCAUGUUGUAUUUAUGAACGGACAUAGCUUUCUGAGGUUGCUGUAAAGGUUGCAACAGGGAAGGAUUCAUUGUAAGAACAAAAAAUGGCAUCGGCAGCUUUGACUCUCAACUUGGUAAAACAAAUUGUACUGUACUUAAAAUUACAACAUCCUGCUUUUUGCAAAACUCUGUAUGCAUACCCAUUCUAUUUCUGCACACAUGAUUGUAUCUGAUAUGAACUAUAGUCUGGACCCAAUUUAUCUUGUGAUAAAUUUCCUCACACUACUUGGUUUCAUGCAAAAUGCUGCCUAAGAAUUCUAAUGUUAGAAUUUAUUGUACUCAAACAAUUGAGUUAUUCUUGAAAUUCAUUUAGCUAUGCAGAUAUGCUUGUCCAUGGUGGAAAUGAAUACUCUGAGUAGUAAAGGGCACUUCCUGACAAAACUUUACACUGCUACUCUUAGAUAUCAAGUAGUGUUUUGCAAUUGGACACCUCCGUAAUCCUUCCCAACUCUACUUUGUGAUGUUUUGCAAUUGUUUACCAAAACUGAAACCGGCUUAUCCACAUUAAUUCAAUAGGUAUAGAAGGAGCGACUUAAAAUUUUCACAAGUCAUCCAAGCCCAAUACUCAAAGAAGCCCAAACUGCUUCAUUUCACUCGAGGCCUACCUUUCCCCAUUCAAAGCAAAUGCCACAAUCUAUUUUGCGUAAAUUGCGAGAGAGGAGUGCCGUAGAGGAAGUGGUGGAUGGUUGAGCCUGAACAUUACUGUCCCUGUCACAGCAAGACUGUUGUUUUUAAAGAUAUACUUAUACAGAAAACUUGAGGAUCUGGUACUCCCCUUAUCUAAUAUCUACAAUGAUUAGUUUUUUAUAUCUUCUGUAUUUUUUUUUUUCAUUUUGUGGUGGUUUGCAACUGUUUGGCCAAGUGCUGGUUUCAUAUAAUGCGCUUCAUUUGUUCUAUAUAAUAGCUUAUCACCAUCAAAUUUUGCUUUAGCACUUUUUAAACUUCUAGGUGGUGUUGACAUUUUAUCUGUGAUUUGGUUUGUUUUGGUUAGAAUGCAAGAUUUAAACAUAAUAUAGAAUACUCAAUGAAGCUGUGAUGUUUUUCAGCUUUUAGAACAGAGAAGAGGUUGAAGAGCCUUGGUACUGGCAAGGUGUUUCAGAAUAUCUGUUUGAAAUCACUAUUGCUGUGGUUUCUUCUACAGACACGUUAACGCAGCCAUGGUGAGGCUUUUCUCUUCUGCCUCUUGUUUGAGAAAAGGUGAAUCUGAGCCUUCCUAUGAAAACCUGCAGUUUAUACUCAGUUAAGUAUGAGGCUCACUCUCAGAGAGUUAAGGGUGUCUUGAGAGCCGUUGCCCCUCCGAGUUUUCAUGCAAGCCAGUGAUCCUUAGUGAAAUUUUGCAAACAGCUCUCCACACACAAACACACUCACAUUCUCUUUCUCUCUUCUGCUUCUGUUUCUGUUUUCACCACAGCAUCUGUUUCUUCUUCUUCUUGGAUAACUAGGCAGUGAUGAUGCACUUAGCAAUUUAAUUAGACAUUGAGUGAAGAGUUGUUUCCUGGCAAGGUGACUCUUCUGUGUGAAAUUGCUCUUGUGCAUCUUUGCACAGUUGACAUUGGCAGCCUUUGCAAACCUCUUCUCUCCUGUCUGAAAAAAGGCAAAUCUGAGCCUCUUUUGUUUAAACCCCUAACUUAAAUUUUAUUGAAACUUGGUUUCCUCUUUUUCUUUCUAUUUAUUGAAUUUUUUAUUUAUAAUGCUGGAGUUUCUCAAUGCAAAUUUUAACAUUAAUUGGCGAUGAUCCUGAGAUUGCAACUUGUGAUUGUUUUGUAGCAAAAUUGAAAUUGGCUCAUUGAUGUUUUUUUCAUGGCAUGGAUGUCACACUUGGUGUGAGUUGUUUUAUUACAUGUGAGAUGUGGUUCAAAUAUUGGCGGAAUGCCUCUCAUUUAAAGUUGAAGGUCGAACCAUACCCUUCUAUUCAUUAUAAGUGAAUAUUAAACAGUGUCUUAUAUAUUAAUGUAUAUAGUAAGGUCAUUGAAAUAAGUUAUGAAGCUGUCAUUCAACCUAGUAAAAUAAAUUGUACUAAAUUUAUAAAACCUUUCUAUUUAAACUUGUCAAGGACUUUUCUUACCA